GACAGAGGGUGCAAACGUUGUUCGGAAUUACUGGGCGUAAAGCGCGUGUAGGCGGCAGGGCAUGUCGGAUGUGAAAUCCCGUGGCUCAACCACGGAAGUGCACCCGAAACUGCCCAGCUUGAGUCUCGGAGAGGAAGGCGGAAUGCUUGGUGUAGAGGUGAAAUUCGUAGAUAUCAAGCGGAACACCCGUGGCGAAGGCGGUUCUCUGGGACGGUACUGACGCUGAGACGCGAAAGCGUGGGGAGCAAACAGG
rnacentral:rRNA from 1 species